rnacentral:misc_RNA from 1 species
GGAAGCAUUAAAAUUGUUAGAUCUCGAAAAUGUUCAUUACCUGUUCGAUGAAUUGAUUCAAAGAGCUUCCAAAUGCUUAUCAUCGAAUCCUCAAGCUAAUAAUGCUUCUUCAAGGAAUUCCAGUAAUUUGUCUUUGGCCAAUUCAUCUUCCUUCAACGGUAGUAGUUUCAAUUCUCCGGCAACUACUACGACUAUGUCUUCUUCGUCCAGCUUUUAUAGUGAGAAAGAGUCUGUUAAAGUGUCUGAACUGGUUACAAGAGACGACAGUUACUUGAAGAAACCGACCACUGCGUUUCAAAUGGAUGGAAUCGGUGUUGGGCUUCGAUCUAAGAAUGCUUCUUCUGCGCCCCAGAUUGUCGAUACCACUUUGAAGCGUACUACUGGUGAAAAUGGUGAAAAAAUGAGCUUGAUAAAGCUUGCUAGUUUGAUAGAAGUUUCAGCCAAAAAAGGAACCAAGGAGCUAAUUCUUC